UCGGUUAUUAAGACGGUGGCGGACGGGUGAGUAACGCGUGGGCAACCUACCCUAUGCAGGGGGAUAACAUGGAGAAAUCCAUGCUAAUACCGCAUAAGACCAUAGUGUCACAUGACACAGUGGUAAAAGCCUUGACGGCAUAGGAUGGGCCCGCGUCGCAUUAGCUAGUUGGUAAGGUAACGGCUUACCAAGGCGACGAUGCGUAGCCGACCUGAGAGGGUGAUCGGCCACAUUGGAACUGAGACACGGUCCAAACUCC
rnacentral:rRNA from 1 species